rnacentral:rRNA from 1 species
CCUACGGGUGGCAGCAGUAGGGAAUCUUUCACAAUGGGCGAAAGCCUGAUGGAGCAACGCCGCGUGCAGGAUGAAGGCCUUCGGGUUGUAAACUGCUUUUAUAAGCGAGAAAUAUGAUGGUAACUUAUGAAUAAGGAUCGGCUAACUACGUGCCAGCAGCCGCGGUCAUACGUAGGAUCCGAGCAUUAUCCGGAUUUAUUGGGUUUAAAGGGAGCGUAGAUGGGUUGUUAAGUCAGUUGUGAAAGUUUGCGGCUCAACCGUAAAAUUGCAAUUGAUACUGGCAGUCUUGAGUACAGUUGAGGUAGGCGGAAUUCGUGGUGUAGCGGUGAAAUGCUUAGAUAUCACGAAGAACCCCGAUUGCGAAGGCAGCUUACUAAACUAUAACUGACACUGAAGCACGAAAGCGUGGGGAUCAAACAGGAUUAGAUACCCCAGUAGUC